CUGCGCCGCCCCCGCUCACGCGUCGUCCCUCUGGCCACCUCACCGCCCCGCCCGAAGCGACCAGAAAGGGACCAGUACCCGAGCCAAGCGGCGAGCCGGCGAGCCACCGCCCCCCGCCUCCCCUCGCUCCCGCCCGCGCGGUAUCCUCCCCCUCCACCCCGCCCCGCGGCCGCAGCCGCUCCGCAGAUCGAACCCUCACGCGCGCCAUGGCGUCCUCCUCCUCCGCGACGUCCGGCGACGACCGGCCGCCGGCCGCCGGGGGCGGGACCCCCGCGCAGGCGCACGCGGAGUGGGCCGCCUCGAUGCACGCCUACUACGCGGCCGCCGCCUCCGCCGCCGGGCACCCCUACGCCGCGUGGCCGCUGCCGCCGCAGGCCCAGCAGCACGGCCUGGUGGCGGCCGGGCCGGGGGCGGCGUACGGCGCGCCGGUGCCGUUCCCCAUGUACCACCACCCCGCGGCGGCGUACUACGCGCACGCGCACGCCUCCAUGGCCGCGGGGGUGCCUUACAUGGCCGGCGAGUCUGCGUCGGCGGCGGGGAAAGGGAAGAGGGUGGGGAAGACACGGCGUGUCCCUUCCGGCGAGAUCAAUUCCAGCUCCGGGAGUGGCGAUGCCGGGAGCCAGGGGUCAUCGGAGAAGGGAGACGCCGGCGCCAAUCAGAAGGGCUCAUCAUCAUCCGCCAAGAGGAGAAAGUCCGGCGCUGCGAAAACAGAAGGUGAACCAUCUCAGGCUGCCACAGUGCAGAAUGCUGUAACCGAGCCGCCAUUGGAAGACAAGGAGAGGUCUGCAUCCAAACUGUUGGUUUUGGCGCCUGGGAGGGCGGCACUCACCAGUGCUGCACCAAACUUGAAUAUUGGGAUGGAUCCCUUGAGCGCUUCUCCAUCCUCCUUGGUGCAGGGGGAGGUGAACGCCGCAGCUUCUUCCCAGAGUAACGCUUCGCUGUCUCAGAUGGAUGAACGGGAACUGAAGAGGGAGAGAAGGAAACAAUCCAACAGAGAGUCUGCAAGGAGAUCAAGAUUACGCAAACAGAAUGCGAAGAGUUAGCCCAGAAGGUAAGUGAGCUGACCGCAGCGAAUGGCACGCUCAGAUCAGAACUCGACCAGCUUAAGAAGGACUGCAAAACCAUGGAAACAGAAAAUAAACAGCUGAUGGGUAAAAUACUAAGUCACGAUGAUAAAAUGCAGCAGUCAGAGGGCCCUAGCGUUGUGACUACCUUGAGCAUCCAGGUCGAAGCGCCCGAGCCGCAUCAGGGAGGACACGGCAAAGCUUCAUAAGAAAAGCUCAACAGCAACAGCGAGGGGUUGGAUCGAGUGCCAACCAGUAAGUAGAAGUCAAGAAGAUUGGUGGAGUUCCCUAUUAUCUAACCCUGCCAUCGCCCGAUAGGGUUUCACCCCCCUUUUGAAGCUCCAUAAUCAUACUUGGUUUUUGGUCUUAGUCAUGGCUGGCCAAUGAGUUGUUUGUAAAACAUGGUGUACAUAAAUGUAUGAUAGAUUACUAUAUUUCUUGUUA